CUUAUUUUUCCAGAAAUUUGCUUUGCAAUUCUGGAACUCACUUGUGACCAUGUCAGACAGCAUGGGCUUGAUGCUUCCCACAUUAUAUGGCAAGAGAAGAUUAUGCCUCAAGAGAUCAAGGAUGCUUUCAUUGUCUACCUCUAUAAAGGAAAAGGGAAUAGGUUGCCUUCUGACAAUCCUAGCAGAGUCCCUCUCAAUCAUUGCUGGCAAGAUUAUUCAAUUUUGGUAGAUUCUCUAGGAUUUUCUAUGUAUAUCAUGAUAUCAUCUGCAAAGUGAUAGCUUUCUUUCCUCAUUACCUAUUCUAAUUCCUUCAGUUUCUUUUUCUUCUCUUAAUGCUAUAGCAAACAUUUUUAGUAUAAUAUUGAAUAAUAGUGGAGAUGAUGGGAAUCCUUGUUUCACUCUGAUCUAAUUGGGAAGGUUUCUAGUUUAUCCUCAUUACAGAUCAUGCUUGAUGAUGGUUUUAUUUUUUUAAGUGUAUAAGAAUAUAUAUAUAUUUUUUUUUUUAUUUAAUAAGAUGAUUUAGAAUAUUUGCCCAUGGUUACAAGACUCAUGUUCUUUCCCUCCCUUCCCCCUACCCACUUCCCGUACCUGACGAACAAUUCCACUGGGUUUAACAUGUGUUAUUUAUCAAGUCCCAUUUCCAUAUUAUUAAUAUUUGCACUAGGGUGAUUGUUUAGAAUCUACUUUCCCAGUCAUAGCCCCAUCAACCAAUGUGAUCAAGCAGUUGUUUUUCUUCUGUGUUUCUUUUCCCACAGUUCUUCCUCUGGAUGUGGAUAGCGUUCUUUCUCAUGUGUCCUUCCGAAUAUUUCUGGAUCAUUACACUGAUACUAGAAGAGAAGUCCAUUACAUUUGAUUUUACUCCAGUGUGUCAACUGUUGAUGGUUUUAGAUAAAUGCUCUUUAUCAUUUUAAAAGAAAACUCCAUUUAUUCCAAUGUAUUCUAGUGUUGUUAGUAGGAAUGGAUGUUGUAUUUUGUCAAAAGCUUUUUCUGUAUCUAUUGAGAUAAUCAUAUGAUUUAUGUUGGCUAAGUUAUUGAUAUAAUAAAUUAUGUUAAUAGUUUUCCUAAUUCUGAGCCAUCCCUGCAUUCCUGGUGUAAAAUUCACCCGAUCAUAGUGUAUGAUCCUUGUGAUGCCUUGCUGUAUUCUCCCUGAUAGUAUUUUAUUUAGAAUUUUUACAUCAAUAUUCAAUGGAGUGAUUGGUCUAAAUUUUCUUUCUGUUUUUGUGCUUUUUCUGAUUUAGGUAUUAUUCAAAUAUUUGUUUCAUAGAAGGAAUUUGGCAGAAUUCCUUCACCUAUUUUUCAGUUUAUAUGGUAUUAGAAUUAGUUGUUCUUUUAAUGUUUGGUAGAAUUCACUUGUGAAUCUAUCUAGCACUGGGGACUUUUUCUUAUAGAAUUCAUUGAUGGCUGUUGAACCUCCUUUUCUGUUUUGGGUUUAUUUAAAUAUUCUAAUUCCUCUUCUGUUAAUCUGAACAAUUAAUAUUUUUAAAUAUUCACCUAGGUCACUUAGAUUGUCAUUAGAUAGACUUUUGAUAUAAAAUUGGGCAAAAUUACUCCUAACAAUUGCUUUAAUUUUCUCUUUGUUAUGUGUUCACCUUUUUUUAUUUCUGAUACUGGUAAUUUGGUUUUCUACUCUCUUUAAAAAAAAAUCAAAUUAGCCAAUGAUUUAUCUAUUUUAUUGAUUUCCCCCACCCACACAGAAAACUAGAUCUUUGUCUUAUUUAUUAGUACAAUGAUUUUUUUACUUUGAAUUUUAUUAAUAGCUCCUUUGAUUUUCAGGAUAUCUAAUUUGAUGUUUAAUUGGGGAUUUAAAAUUCAUUCUUUUUCUAGAUUAUUUUGGUUGCAUGCCCAGUUCAUUAAUCUGUCCUUUCUCCAUUUUGAAAAAGCAUAUUGUGGAAUUCUGGUUUUGAAUAUCCUCUACUAUCGUCUUCUGUUUUAUGGUGAUCCAAGACAAUCAUUCCUCAAGAACUCAUGAUGGAAAAUGCCAUGUGUUUCCAGAGAAAGAACUGAAGUCUGACUGCAGACCCCAGACAUAUUACAUUUUACUUUUUUUCAUUUUUCUUUUGUUUGUUUGAGUUAUGUUUCACAAAAUUACUAAUAUGGGAAAUUGUCUUAUAUAAUUACAUACAUAUCAGAUUGCUUGCUGUCUCUGGAAGGGAAUGGGGAGAGGUGAGAACUUGGCUCAAGCUUUACAAAAAUGAAGUUUUAAAAUUGUUUUUUCAUGUAAUUGAGGAACAAUAAGAUUAUUUUUUUAAAAAGAAGAAAACUGUCUCUACUCUGACUCGGAGAUUUGACUAUUAGUCUCAAGGAGGCCAUUGAUAAGAAGAACAAUCUCCAAUUAGACCCAGAUUUUUAUAGGAGCAUUUUUUAAUAGCAAAGAACUAGAAACAAAGCAAAUGCCAGCUGAAUGAGGAAUGACUAAACAAAUUGUGAUUCACACAUGUAAUGGAAUAUUACUGUGAGGAAAUAAAUAAUGAAUGUGAUAAAAGCAGAAAAUCAUGGAAAGAUCCAAAUGAACAGAUGGAGAAUUAAGUAAACAAAAUCAAGAAAACAACAUACACAAUAUAAAUGAAACCUCAGCCUAAAAAAAAUCAAAGGUGAUUUUUCAAAAUUACAAAGAAUAUGUCUAGCUGGGAAGAAAAGAUAUGAGAAGACACCCUCAACCCAUCCCUUUGCAGAUGUGGGCAGUCCAUGAGUAUAAUACAUUGUACACGCUUUUGUACUUUUUUGUGUUGGUCAGUUUUGUUGAUUUUUUUCUUUUCUCUUUUUUUUGGUCUUUAAAAAUUAUUACUUGUUAUGGAAAUAUAUUUUGUGUGAUAAUA